UCCCUCCCCCGCCUGCUUCCGCCGGGCUUAUUAUCCUUCUUAUUGACAAACAGAGCAGCCGCGGCGGCGACUCUUGGCGUGCGUUUGUAGCCAAGCCAUGGGAGACAAGAAGAGCCCCACCAGGCCGAAGCGGCAGCCGAAGCCGUCCUCGGAUGAGGGUUACUGGGACUGUAGCGUCUGCACCUUCCGGAACAGCGCCGAGGCCUUCAAGUGCAUGAUGUGCGAUGUGCGGAAGGGCACCUCCACACGGGACAGCAAGGAAGGGGGGAAGCUGGUGUCCUACUCCACAGCCAGUCUUGGGGUUAGAGGAACCCUGAGAAAUAGAGUAGGUGGUGACAGCUCAGAAGAGAAGAAACAGGCCGCAUACCUGGCACCUGGAAGAAGAAGGAAUAUAGUGCACAGGGGAGUUGGCCCAGGACAGAGAAGUGGGCCUAGUUUAAAAGAGGCUUGAGGCCCAUGUGGGGGCCCCUGACAUUUUUUACCAGUACUUCUGAGCUCUUGUAGAUCCAAUUUUUAGUGGUGGAAUCAUUACUUGAGGAGGACUCAGAGAAGCAUUGUCAUUUGGAUUGAAACUGAAGAGGCUCUGGGCAACUCACCAGAAGUCUAAGGGACACUCUGUUCCUAAAAGUAAGUGUUCUACACUAAGACCCUCUCAGCUUCUUCCUUCCUCUCUCUGAAUUGUCUCUUCUCUUUUGAUUUUGGCCAUAAAUUAAACGUAAGAGCUCUAAUUUCUCUGUUAAUCUGUUGUUUUCCUAUCACUGUUUCUGAAAUUCAGAGUGGAAUCCAUGUUUGGAAAGAACAAUAGAACAGGGCAUUGUUAAUAGGGCAGAUAUUGAUGGCAUCACAAAAUAGUUUGCUCUUUGGUAAUAUUAGAAAAACAGAAUUAAAAGACUGUAGAACACUACUAAGAAGCAAAAGUUGCAGUAGUUGGAAGAAAUAAUUCUCUACAACUGACAUUUUAAUUAGCAGUUAAGGUAGUUUCAAGGGUAAGGCUGGAGAGUACCAAACCAAGGACUGAAUAGCUGUAGCUCUGAAGGAUCCAGUUUGUUAAUGACUUGUUUGUGUGACCAGAAGACAGGAUUUCAAUCCCUUGGGUCACACUGACCUUUGAACUGAUGGUAUCUCAGUCUCUUAAAUUUAUAGCCAAGUCUAAGCCAUCCUAGACAUUUAAAAACCCAGAGAAGAUGAUUCCAUCGUCUCCCUUAAAGUCUUUACAGACCAUUUUUUUUUUAAGACUAUCUAGUUCAAAUUCUCUACGUUGCAACAGAAAACUCUUUUGGAUAUUUCCUUGGUAGGUCAUGCUUUUCUGCAGAACGACUUUAUAUGCAGUGAAAUGAGCUUAUAUUCAUAAGAUGUAUUUCAAAAUGAAAUGUGACUGGACAUAGCUUCAGUUCCUCAGAUGAUAAAUUAUAUUAUUUAAGUUUAUGUUUCUGUGAUUGAAUUUCAGUUUUUGUACUUGGUGGCCUUCAUGAGUUUAAAUUUGAUCUAUUCAACUCUUUUUUUUCAAAAUCCGGAAUCUAAAUAGCUAGAUGGUUCAAAUACCUGAAGUUUUCUACCUUGUGCUUUUGUGAGUUAAACACUGAUAAAUGUCCUACUAAUAGAAAAAACUUAGAAAAACAAAGCUGUGGUGACAAAUGAUUCCCAUAAGUGGCAGACUGCCUUCUUCGUCUUUAUACCUGAAGUUCUUAUGAGGCAGUAAGUGUCCCAAAUGGAAACUUUAGGAAAUUAAGAACCAUCACCAGAGAAAAAACUGUGUGUGAGGAUAGUAAUCAGUAUAUAAUGAUUGAAUUAAACUAGUAUCUUAUUGCCAGUUGUUCAUGUAUAUAUGGAAGAAUGACUUUAUUGCUUAAUUCAGAUAGCAGAUAUUUUGAAAUGAAAAUAAUAGAGCAGUUGGUUUUAGUUUUGAGCUGUGGUCUAAAUGAGAACCUAUGAAAUAUCUGGUACAUAGCAGACUUCCAGAUGUAAUAUCUUUACCUGUGAUAUUUUCUCAGUGUAACUUGUAAAACAGUUGUUCCUCCGUGUCUGCAGGAGAAUUGGUUCCAAGACUCCCCUCCCCCACCCCUGCAGAUACCAAAACCUGAGGAUGCUCAAGUCCCUUGUAUAAAAUGGCAAAAUAUUUGGGUAUAACCUGCACACAUCCUCCUGUGUACUUUAAAUCAUCUCUUGAUUACUUAUAAUACCUAAUACAACGUAAAUGCUAUGUAAAUAGUUGUUUCAUCACAGUUGAAGACUUGAUGUGAAAGGUAGCCUUUCUCUUCUAUGAGUUUCUUGAGCUCUUUUGGGAACACUGAUACUACAUGGCCAUCAGCCGAUGCCUAUUUGCCUGUGAUCUUGAGGUUCUUCAGGUCGUAGAGCUUUACAUAGCUAGCCAGCCAUCCCCUACUAGGCUUAAAUUUCCUCCAGCUGUCUUAGACCCAUUCACACUUAGCCCUCGAGGGAUUGCUUUGACCACUUUGUGGCUUUUUAGGAGCCAUUUUGCAGAAACCAAAGUGCACACAACACAAGUAGCAAACAAGAGGGGAGGUAAGCAAUGCUCAAAUGAGUUCUGGAGAGAAGCUGAGGGUCUGGGAAAUGGUGGGAAGCUACAGCCUACACAUCCUUUCAUUUGCUUGGAUUCAGCUUAGUGCUCUGCGCGUGGCAAGUUGAAGUUUUGCUUUUUGGAACUUUUUUUUUUUUUUAUUAGUAUUUUUGAUCCACUGUUGGUUGAGUCCAUGGAUAAGGAACCCGUGGACAUAGAGGGCCGAUUAUUCCUUUGGAUUUCUCAUAGGUGUUAUUUUAGAGAAAUGUGGAAAAGAUUCCACAUAGUGUAAAGAGCGCUAAGUAUUGAAGUAGGAAUCUGGUGAUCUGGGUUCAUAUCUUAUUUUAACCACUUCAACAUUCAGCAUUCAGCAAAUGUUUACUGAACAUGUUACUUUAUGCAAGGUCUGAACUAAGUACUGGACAUAAAAUGGUGAGCAAAAUAGUUACUUGUUUCUUCUGUAAGAUUUUAGCUUUGUUGUCAAAUUAUAAACACUUUGAACAGUACCAAAUUCUGUGUAUGAUGUACUUUUAGUAAAUCUUUCCUUUAUAUAUGAGCCAAAGAGUAGUAACUUCUCCAUUAAAAAAAAUCUUAAGUUUAUAACUGAACUUAUUAUUAUGAUUAGGAUCUGGCUGCUGGUAAAAAGAAUAAAUUACUUUUGCUUCUAUAAGUUGGGGGUAAACUACAUAGAAUUCACAUUCUGAAGAAACCUUAAGGAAACCAACUAUUUGGUGAGAAAUUUUUUCAAUAUUAUUGUUGUAUUAUACUUGCUUUCUGUCUUCUAAUUUGAAGUUUGAUACAGAGUUGAUUGUCUUAGACUCAGAGUGAGAAUGGGAGAAGAAAUUGAAGACGGUGUGAGUAAGUUAAUUUUUCAGAAAUACAGUAUCCCCUGUCUCUCUGAGGAUCUUCCUCAGCUACCACAGAGUUGUUCACAAUAAAACUAAAUAAAAACCAAUAGCCAUUGAGUCGAUUUUGACUCCAUGACAACCCCAUGUAUGCAGAGUAGAAUUGCAUUCCAUAGGGUUUUCAAGGUUGUGACCUUCCAGAAACCCUGGUGGCAUAACGGUUAAAUGCUACGGCUGCUAACCAAAGGGUCAGCAGUUCGAAUCCACCAGUUACUCCUUGGAAACUCUGUGGGGCAGUUCUACUCUGUCCUGUAGGGUCGCUAUGAGUCGGAAUCGACUCGGCGGCACAGGGUUUGGUUUUUUGACCUUCCAGAAGUGAAUCACCAGGACUUUCUUUCAAGAUGUCUCUGGGUGGGUUCAUACCAACAACCUUUUGGUUAGUAGUUGACUGCUUAACCAGUUGCACCACCCAGGGACUCCCGUUGUUGUUCAGAGACUCCUUGUUAUAGGAGACUACUUGUUUGUUUUUUCUUUUCUGUAUAUCUUGGUUUCGGAGUUCCUGGGUGGUACAGACUAUUAAGUGUUUGGCUACUAAAAAAGUUUGGAGGUUCAGGGUCACCCAGAGGUACCUCGGAAAAAAGGCUUGGUGAUCUGCUUCUGAAAGAUGACAGCUUUGAAAACCCUGUGGAGCACAGUUCUGCUCUGCAACACAUGAGUCAGAAUCGACUUGAUGAUGACUGUUUUUGAAGGUGAUUAUUGUUUGCAUAGUCCAGAGUGGUGGUGGUGUUAGGUGCUGUCGAGCUGGUUUUGACUCAAAGCAACCCUAUAGAACAAAGUAGAACUGCCCCAUAGGGUCUCCAGGGGGCAGCUGGUGGAUUCAAACUGCCUACCUUUUGGUUAGCAACUGUAGCUCAUAACCGUUGCCCGACCAGGGCUCCUUUGGUGCAGAAGCAGUGGUGGGUAAAACUGCUGGUACCUUAGCAUGAAUCAAAGCAGCUGCACGAAAUUGCUGUAUUCCUCGUCUUCCUCACUAUUGUGCGCUCAGAGGAGACAUAAUGCCAGUUCCACUUAAGAAUAUCCUUGAUUAGGCAUUAAGAAUUAUAAAUUUUAUUAAAUAAUGUCAUUUUUAACAUUCUGUCUGAUGAAAUGGAAAGUACACAUAAAGCACUUCUGCUGCAUACCGGAGUGCAGUGGUUGAUUCCAGGAAAAGUAUUUAUGCAGUUGUUUGAGUUGUGAGCAGAAUUAGUUCCUUUUUUCAUAGAACAUCAUUUUUAUUUGAGGGAAUGACUGACAAAACUGUGGCUAUUCAGACUUGGUUAUUCAGCAGAGAUUUUCUCAGAAACAGAGUGAGCCUGCCACUUCAAGGAAAACAAUUGUCAGUAUUUGCUGCCAGUGAUAAAAGCUGAACUUUCAAAUGAAAAUAAGAAUUUUGGAAAACUUGUAAGCACUACAGUAAGCUUCAGAGUUUCCCAGUACUUUAAAGACUUUUCUAAUAAGAUUGGCGGUGAUAUUAAUGAAUGUGAUUUCUGAUAUCAUACCAUAAAAUGUGUCAGCAUUUGGAACAUCUGCAUAACUCAGUGACCUAAUAUUUUCCCAGUGAUCAAUGGAUGAAGUUGCAAAACCAUACGUGAAUAAUUCAAAGUGCAAAACGAACCAAUUGAUUUUAAAGGGAACACAGUAUGAAAAGUUCAUUGAUGAUUUCCAUUCUACAUUGCAACUAAACUUUGGGAAAAGACUCUUUACUGUGUUUUUAUGUAGUAUCAAAGAAGAAUAUCCACAGUUAUCUGAAAAGGUUAUUAAAAUAUUCCUCCCCCCCUUUUUUUUUUCAACUACUCUCUGGAAGUCGAGAUUUCUUUAUAUUGAACCAAAACAAUAUACUGCAACAGAUUGAAUGGCAAAGCAAAUACGAGAAUCCAGAUAGAUGUCUUCCAUUCAGAAGAAUGUUAAAGAGUUGCAAAAAUAUAAAACAAUGCCACUCUUCAUACUUAGUUAUUUUUGUGUUUUGGAAAAUAAAGAUUUUUUUCACAUUAAAAUAUUUAUAUUGAUGCGGAAUGUUCUGAUUAUGGUUUUAAAAAAUGAAUAUAUACUUUAAAUUUUUUUCUCAGUUUUCUAAUACAGUAAACAUCAAUAGAUAAAACUCACAUAAACAAAAGCUUUUUGGGGUCUUCUAACCUUAAGAGUGUAAAGAGAUCUGAGGGCAGAAAGUUUAUAAACUGCUGGUUUAUAGUUUUAUUAGCUUGAGCUUCUACACAUGACAUAUUUACUUCAACAGGCGUUCUUUUUCUUUCCUUUCUUGCGUGAGGCCUCUAAAAACCAGUGACCUAGUUGUUAAACUCAGCAGCCUAAUCUCAGUCUUCUUUCGAUGUGAUCCCUGCAACAUUUGAUGUUGCUAGCUUUUAAAAAAAAAUUGAAGCUCUCCUCUGACUUCUCUUAUACAACUUUUUCCUAGUUUUCCUUGUAUGUCUCUUAAAUCUAUUUCUGCUUCCUCAAACCUGGCUUCUUGUCUGUGUUCCUUAUUUUGUAUGUGGCAUAAACUUCUUUCUGGAACCCAAGCAAGAAACUAUCAUCUCAACUUUGAUUCUAACUCAUUGUCAUCCCUCCUAUCCAGUGUCCCUCAGUUGUCAUAUUGAGAAACACUUUGAGAUUUGUAUCCUCCCUUUUCUGAUUUGUAUAGCCAUAGUUCACAGGCGCUCACCAUUUCUCUGAUUGGCUAUUGGACAACUUGGUCUCUCUGCCUUCAGAGUGCUGUUAAUGGUAUCUUGGUUGUAUUUCAACCAUAUCUGAUUAUGUUGGUCCCUGUAAUAAAAAGAAAUUUAAGUCUCCCCAGUGACUACUGAGUAAAGCUCCUGAGCGUGGUACCCAAGGCUUUAAUCUAUCCUUAAAGUACUUCCCUAGAUUCAUUUACUUCUGCUUAUCCCACCAAUCCUGUAUCCAUGCUCAAGUACCUUUAUCAGGUGGUACUCCUAAAAAAAAAAAAAACCGUCCCCCUCCCGAUAGCCUAUUGAUUGUAUUUAUCUAUAUAAAUAAUCACAAGAGGGUGCAGGAACUGGCAGCGUUCCUGUUACACAUGAGGUAGUUGAGUCGGAGACAAGUCAACAGCAAUGGACAGCAACAGAGACUCACUUCCAUGUUGUAGGCCAACUGUCCAGAUAUUUAUCUGCCCAAAAGGGCAGGGACUGUCUCCUUCACUUUGAUAUCUUCAGAAGCUAGCAGAGUAUCUGGAAUUUUGUAGGUAUUUAAGAUUUUUAAAUUGAAGGCUUUUCAAAUUUGAUUAUUAAUAUUUGAUACCUGGCAUUGCCUUUCUGAUAAUUUUCACUAUAUAUAUAUAUAUUUUAUAUAUUUAAAAAUACUAUAUCAGACUAUUUUGUUCAUAAGUUACAGGAGUUUAUUGUUUUAGCAUUAUUUUAGAGGACGAUAUUGUCUAUGAAUGCCUUAGCGUUUUAAGGUACAACUUUGGAAAGUCGUAUGUUUCUUUUAUUUUCUCAUUUAUAGACACGUAUUUCUCACUUGUUAAGACUGUAUACCACCUUAGGUAGUAUAGCUAAAAAUGAAAAGUAUUUCUUGACUAGGGUAAACUGAUGAAGUCUUGAAAGAGUACAGCAUGUUAUGAACUAUAUUGCAUUCCUCAACUAAAUUGUAAGUUCUCUAUUGAGUGAUUUUUUAAGUUAAUUGACAUUGAGGGCCCGUCAAAAACUAAAAUAUACUGUGGAUCCACAAUCAACACCCACGGAAGCAACAGUCAGGAAAUAAAAGAUGCGUUGCAGUGGGCAAAUCUGCAAAAGACCUCUUUAAAGUGUAAAAAAGCAAAGAUGUCACCUUGAAGACUAAGGUGCACCUCACCCAAGCCAUGGUGUUUUCAGUCACCUCAUAUCCGUAUGAAAGCUGGACAAUGAAUAAGGAAGACCAAAGAAGAAUUGAUGCCUUUGAACUAUGGAGUUGGGGAAGAAUGUUGAGUAUACCAUGGACUGUGAAAAAAACAAACAAAUCUGUCUUGGAAGAAGUACAGCCAGAAUGCUCCUUAGAAGCAAGGAUGGCGAUAUUUUGUCUCACACACUUUGGACGUGUUAUCAGGAGGGAUCGGUCCCUGGAGAAGGAUGUCAUAUUGGUAGAGUAGAGGAUCAGUGGAAAAGAGGAAGACCCUCUAUGAGAUGAAUUGACACAGUGGCUGCAACAGUAGGUUCAAGCAUAACAAUGACUAUGAGGAUGGUGCAGGACCAGGCAGUGUUCUGUUCUGUUGCACAUAGGGUCGCUAUGAGUCAGCACCUAACAACAACAACAACAUAGCUUUGUGGUAUUUGAGAUUGUUUAAUGGAAAAUAGUUUAGCAUUCAGAUUUUGCAUUUGUUUGAACUGUACUGAAUUUAAAAUUAAAUCGGGACUAAUUUAAUUGUAAUUAAAACAGAACUAGUUUUUGUCUUAUGACUAAGAAGAUAGUGUUAUUUUACCUGUAGAUUUGUUACUCUUAAAGAUAAAUCAUUUAUACACAUUGUUGGUGCUAUCGAGUUGGUUCUGACUCAGUGACCCUGCGUCUUUAUGAAACACUUGCCAUUUCAUUGCUGGGUAUAGCCUUCUCUUUCUUAUUCUCUUGAUAUAUAUGUACGUAUGUUUGUGUGCGUGUGUGUGUGUGGAUUUUUUUUUAAAGAAAUUAGUAUUUUUUAAGGUGAUAGUUGUUAUAUAAUUGAGUAAGAUUUCCAAAGACUAAAAUUAUUACUUGCCUGUGAAAAACUUGGAGCCCUGGUGGUGCAGUGGUUAAGAGCUCAGCUGCUAACCAAAAGGCUGGCAGUUUGAAUCCACUGGCCACUCCUUGGAAACCCUAUGGGGCAGUUCUGCUCUGUCAUGUAGGGUUGCUAUGAGUCUGAAUCCACUCGACGGCAAUGGGUUUGGGUUUUUUUGGUUUUAUGAAAAGCUUACAUAGGAUGGUUUGGAUUGUUUAAUGUAUAUAUAUUUAGUAGUUAAAUCAUCCCAGAAACGAUCUUUUGGGGAGAAUAAAAUGGUUUUAUAGUAGGACUAAAUUAUCAAGUUUAAUGUUUGUUCCUUAAAUUAUUGAACUCGUUAUGUUGGCAGUGAUCCUGAAUAUAUUACUCAGUUUUUUUGUUUAAUCUGUAAAACGGGUUGUUAAAAAGAUUAAACUAAUUCCUGUAACUAACACAUAGUAAGCGCUGAAUAAAUGAUAUGUUAGGUAUGUGUUUGAAGCAAUACUUAUAAUUUAUUACCACCAAAUUAAGUUUUUAUUUCUAUUAAUGGUUUUUGAAAAUAGGCAUUUAGUAAAAACAAUGUAUUUAAAUUAUUUAAUACUGUGUAUCACUUUACUGUGUUCAGAAUGCUUUCAUAUAUAUCCUUCCAUGUGUUCAUCAAACCACCCUACACAAUUAAGAAGAUUGAAAUACAGGUUGUUUGACUGGGUUGAUGAUUGUUCUUCUCACCCUGCUAUCUUUGAUAAAGAGGUUUAUAAAAUAUCCUAGAUUGGGUGAAAGGUUCCUUUGCUUAUUCCUCUUGCCUUUAGGGUUAGCUAAAGGUCAACAUACUUGGUAAAAGAGAUUCAAAUUCUGUGGGGUAGUACUGUGAGUCAGAAUUUACUCAACGGCAAGGGGGCUACAGGGUAGGGUAGUCAAGUUUUUAUUCAAGGAUUUAAUGAAACUAGGAUUUUUAAAAAUACAUGUUUUCCUUAAGACUUUUUCCUUCAGAAACUAGAUAACUGGGAGCUGCUAAAAAUCAAACACCUGUGCUCAUCCAAAGACUUCACCUACAGACUGGGAAAAAGUUUUUGGCUAUGACAUUUCCGAUCAGCAUCUGAUCUCUAAAAUCUGCAUAAUACUGUAAAAACUCAGCAACACAAAGACAAAUAACCCAAUUAAAAAAUGAGCAAAGGAUAUGAACAGACACUUCACUAUACAAGACGUUCGGGUAGGUAACAGAUACAUGAGGAAAUGCUAAUGAUCAUUAGCCAUUAGAGAAAUGCAAAUCAUAACUACCAUGAGAUUUCAUGUCACUCCAGCAAAGCUGGCAUUAAUCCAAAAAACACAAAAUAAUAAAUGUUAGGCUGUGAAGAGACUGGACCACUUACACACUGCUGGUGGGAAUGUAGAAAGGUAUAACCACUUUGAAAAUCGAUUUGGUGCUUCCUUAAAAAGCUAGAAAUAGAACUACCAUAUGACCAACAAUCCCACUCCUUCAGACAUAUCCUAGAGAAGUAAGAGCCUUUACUCGAACGGAUAUACGCAUACCCAUGUUUACAGCAGCACUGUUUACAAUAGCAAAAAGAUGGAAGCAACCAAGGUGCCCGUCAGCGGAUGAAUGGUUAAAUAAAUUAUGGUAUAUUCACACAAUGGAAUACUACGCAUUGAUCGAUAAAGAACAAGGAUGAAUCUGUGAAACAUUUCAUAACAUGGAGGAAUCUGGAAGGCAUUAUGCUGAGUGAAAUUAGUUGCAAAAGGACAAAUAUUGUAUGAGACCACUGUUAUAAGAACUCAAGAAAUAGUUUAAACAGAGAAGAAAAUAUUCUUUGAUGGUUACGAAAGUGGGGAAGAAGUGGGGGAGAGGGAUAUGCACUAAUUAGAUAGUAGACAAGAACUGUCUUAGGUGAAGGGAAAGACAACACACAAUACAGGCGAGGUCAGCACAACUGGACUAAAUCAAAAGCAAGGAAGUUUCCUGAAUAAACCAAACACUGCGAAGGCUAGUGUAACAGGGGCGGGGGUUUGGGGACCAUUGUUUCCGGGGACAUCUAGGUCAAUUGGCAUAAUAAAAUCUAUUAAGAAAACAUUCUGCAUCCCACUUUGGAGAGUGGCAUCUGGGGUCUUAAAUGCUAGCAAGCAGCCAUCUAAGAUGCAUCAAUUGGCCUCCACCCGCCUGAAGCAAAGGAGAAUGAAGAAUAUCAAAGAUGAAAGGUAAUUAUGAGCCCAAGGGACAGAAAGGGCCACAUAAAUCAGAGACUACAUCAGCCUGAGACCAGAAGAACUAGAUGGUGCCUGGCUACCACCAAUGACUGCCCUGACAGGGAACACAACAUAGAAACCCUGAUGGUGUAGGAGAGCAGUGGGAUGCAGACCUCAAAUUCUUGUAAAAAGACCAGACUUACUGGUCUGACUGAGACUAGAAGGACCCCAGAGGUCAUAGUUCCCAGACCUGUUAGCCCAAGACAGGAACCAUUCCCAAAGCCAACUCUUCAGACAGGGAUUGGACUGGACUAUAACAUAGAAAAUGAUACUGGUAAAGAGUAAGCUUCUUGGAUCCAAGUAGGCACAUGAGAUUAUGUGGGCAGCUCCUGUCUGGAGUGGAGAUGAGAAGGCAGAAGGGGACAGAAGCUGGCUGAAUGGACACAGAAAUACAGGGUGGAGAGGAGUGUGCUGUCUCAUUAGGGGGAGAGCAACGAGGAGUAUAAUAGCAAGGUGUAUAUGAAUUUUUGUAUGAGAUACUGACAAUUUAAGAAAUAUUUAUUGAAUACUUAGGAAGUUUUGUUUAUUGGGUCUCAUGGUUGUAUGACCUGAUUGAUACUUGUGUUUUUAAAAAUUUCGUUAUGUGUUCCAUUCUCUAGUAUUGUUCAUUUUGGAAAAUUAGAGAAUUUCUGGGAAUUUUAGAGCUGGAAAGAACCUUUUAAGAGCUCCCAGUGUGGUCAUUUCCUGAGACAGGCUAUUUUUUGUUACCUGUAAACCUUAAUGGUAGAGGAGUGAGACAGUCUUCAGAGGGAAGAUCUUUUUUUUUUUUUUUUAUAGUGCUUUAGAUGAAGGUUUAUAGAACAAAUUAGUUUCUCAUUAAACAGUCAAUACACAUGUUGUUUCGUGACAUUGGUUGCCAACUCCACAACAUGUCAACACUCUCCCCUUCUUGACCUUGGGUUUCCCAUUUCCAGCUUUCCUGUCCUCUCCUGCCUUUUUGUCCUUGCCCCUGGGCUGGUGUGCCCAUUUAGUCUCCUUUUGUUUUAUGGGCUUGUCUAUUUUUUUUAAUCUUUGGUUGAAGGGUGAACCAGAGGGAAGAUCUAGAUAGAGUUGGGGUGGAGAUGUUGGUAUUAAAACUUUUGAAAUGGUUCGAGGCCAUUGUUUAUAAACCCUUCUUGUUAGGAUUUUUAGCUAAGUUUGAAGGAUUCUGAAUUGUGUUAUGGUCUUAAGAGAAAUGCUAGGUAUUGCUUUGAAAUCUAUACGGGGAGGACUUUUCUAUUUGUUGGAACUCAUAGCCCUAGUCCCAUAUCCUCUUCACAGGCAACAAAACAAACCUGGAAAAUUGUGACUUGUUCAAGGUUAGUAGCUGGUCAGUGUCAGAUUCAUAUAUCUGGAUUUCCGGUAUAUUCUUGUUACCCUAGGCCUGGUGGUCUACUUCUGAAAAAUCAGCCGUUGAAAACCCUAUGGAGUACAAUUUUAUUCUGAUAUACAGGGAGUUGCCAUGAUUUGGAGUCAGUUCAAUGGCAACCUUUUUUUUUUUCUUAUUACUGUGGUAUGGUAGCAUUUAAGUUUGCUAGCAAGAAAAUUCUUAAGGAUUUCUUUGUGUAAUUUUCAUUACACCUAGAUCUAGUGCUGUGUGUCUUACUAACUUUUAAUAUUAAACAACUGCUUAUAAAUAAUGUAAAAACAUAUUGAAAUCCGGGCUAGCAGCAUGAUGAAUGAAGAACAAAAUGUCAGUUGUUUUCUGUGUUAACAGAUGUUUUUGAGGUACAAAUGUUAAACUUCAUUUAGAUAUGUUUUAAAGCAACAUUUGUUAUGCUGUAUACCCUGACUUCUUUGAUAUUAUUUCUUAGAAGAAAAAUCCCAGUAAAUAUUAUUUCCUUCUCUUAUUUGUAGUAUAAAUACUAAGAAUCACUAAUAGUAUAAUUUAAUAGCCAAUUUGGUUAUAUGUAUGUGUGUAUGAAUAACUUGGUGUAUGGUAAAAAGCUUGUAUAGCCACUGAUAAUUUCUAGACGUAUGCAUUAAACCCCUUCAUCUUUGCUUGUUUCGUAGUCUAAUCAGGGUUUUUUUCCCCCAUAAUAUCAUGCUGUACUUUUACAGAGUCUGUCUAGGGACAAUCAGCCUACAACAGCACAAGUAGAUGGAAUUUGACUCCAGAGAGGUAGCUGUUUAAGAGGUAAAGCUUUAGAUGCAUUUGCAGGUGCAAAGCACAGUUGUUUUGGUCUUCUUUCAUCUUUUUCCAUCCCUUUUUGCUGUUUAUCUUUUGUCCCUCUAUCCCCACAGUCUCAUUAAUAUUCAGACCUAGCCUACCUUGUAAAUUCCUUCAUUUUCUUUAUUCCACCAGCAGUUGAUCCUUUACUAGAAAAUCUUUUAUGUUGUAUAUAAAUGUGAUAAAAGUAAUUGUUUGAAGUGUGAAUGUAAACAACCUGGUCAUGAGGGGUAGAGUUUUAUUUUUCUUAUUAAGAUAAUAACUCUCUUUUUGAUGUUAGAAGUAUUACAUGUUCAUUGAAAAUACUAAAGUAUAAGGAAGAAAAUAGGAACACCCAUCAUCGUGACAUCUUUCCAGUUAGAGCUACAUCUAAAACAUUGUUGUGUUUCUAUUUAGUCUUUUAUGUGUGUAUAUUUACAUUUUAAAGUGGAACUUGAUGUCUUCCAUUGGGACAGUGGGAGAAAAGAGGAAACUUUUUAGUUAAGAAAGUUUUCUUGACUCUACUUGAUCACUUUUAAACAAAUAAUUUCUUUUAUAAGGGUCAGCAGAAAGCUGGUUCCUAUGAGGUAGAGGUUAAAGACAUCCCAAAUGUUCAAGUUUUCCAAGCUACUAUACCACUCUAUUAUCAUUAAUAACUACUCCCUUUCCUCUCAGCACCCUCUCUUCCAUUUUUGGGUUCCCUAAUUGACCACAGCGGUUCACAGAACUGACAUAUGAACCGUAUAAAGGAAAUGGCUCAUGUGGUUGUGGAGGGUGACAAGUCCCGAGUUCAUGGGUCAGGCGUAGGCUUCUCCUGACCCAUGUGUCUGCAGGAGCUGAUGAACCCAAACUGGCAGUUCAGAGGACAGGCUGCUGGCUCACAAGGCUGUGGAAGCUGGUGAAUCAGGUCACAUGAUAGGCCGCUAGCCCAAGGGGCUGUGGAGGCUAGCAAAUCCCAGAAUUGAUGGGUCAGACAGCAGACCUCUGGGGAGGUCAGUUAAUCAAGAACCAGAUGUGGGAUCCAGAUGUAGAGAGAGAGAACCUUGCCAGGAUACACACAUAUAUCUUAGAUACAGGAGACAACCCAGGGAAGGGCUUAACUUACAUCUUAGAUACAGGAAACACCCCAGGGAAGGGGGUAACUUUAGUAAGGCUUGAGUCAUGCCUACCUGUAAGACUGUGACCCAAGACACAAUUUACACCAAUCCUGUCUCAUCAACAGACAGAGGUCAGUAUCCACAACAUAUAAAAUGGAGGACAGCUACACAACACUGGGAAUCAUGGCCUAGCCAAGUUGACACAUAAUCCCAACCAUCACAGGUUCUGUAUACCUUAUUUGCAUAGUCCCACUCAGCCACUGUGUGUGAGUAACAAAGACCAUGGCUAGAAGGGCCAUGUUAAAUAAUUCCUUGAACUGCAACUUUUAACCUUGCUUUGGUCAUCUUGGCUGAAAAAUUUUCACAAACACUGGUCUUAGGGAAUGCUCUUUGGAAAAAAGGAAGUAGAGACAGUUUGGUAAAUACUGCAAUCAUGACCUUCUCCUGGAAUUUAAUAAAUUAAAGACUCUGAGAAGCCAUCCACUAAAACAGCUUGCUAGCUUUAUUCACCAUAGCAGUACUCAAUUUUACUUGACCUUUGUUGUUGUUAGGUGCCGUCAAGUCAGUUCCGACUCAUAGUGACCCUGUGUAACUACAGAAUGAAACACUGCCCAGUCCUGUGCCAUCCUCACAACUGUUGCCGUGUUUGAGCCCAUCAUUAAAGCCACUGUGUCAAUCCAUCUCCUUGAGCAUGUUCCCCCUUUUUUGCUGAUCGUCUGCUUUACCAAGCAUGAUGUCCUUUUCCAGGGACUGAUUCCUCCUGAUAACAUAUCCAAAGUAUGUGAGCCAAAGUCUCACCAUUCUUGCUUCUAAUGAGUAUUCUGGCUGUACUUCUUCCAAGACAGAUUUGUUCAUUCUUUUGGCAGUACAUGGUAUAUUCGAUAUUCUUCGCCAAUACCAUAAUUCAAAGGCGUCAAUUCUUCUUUUGUCUUCCUUACUCAUUGUCCAGCUUUCACGUACGUAUGAGGUGAUUGAAAACACUAUGGAUUGAGUGAGGUGCACCUUAGUCUUUAAGGUGAAGUCUUUGCUUUUUAACACUUUAAAGAGGUCUUUUGCAGCAGAUUUGCCCAAGGCAGUGUGUUGUUUGAUUUCUUGAUUGCUGUUUCCAUGGACAUUGAUUUUGAGUUCACAUAAAAUGAAAUCCUUGACAACUUCAACCUUUUCUCCAUUUAUCUUGAUGUUGGUCUGGUUGUAAGGGUUUUUUUUUUUUUUUAUGUUGAGGUGUAAUCCAUUAUGAAGGCUGUGGUCUUUGAUCUUCAUCAGUAAGUGCUUUAACUCCUUGUCACUUUCAGCAAGCAAGGUUGUGUCAUCUGCAUAUCGCAGGUUGUUAAUAGCGUCUUCUUUUAACUGUGAUGCUGAGUUGUUCUUCACAUAGUCCAACUUCUAGGCUUAUUUGCUCAGCAUACAGAUUGAAUAAGUAUCUUGAAAGGAUACCGCCCUGACCUAUACCUUUCUUGGCUUUAAACCAUCCAGUAUCUCCUCGUUCUGUUCGAAUGACUGCUUCUUGGUAUAAAUACAGGUUCCUCCUGAGCACAAUUAAGUGUUCUGGAAUUCCCAUUCUUCCCAAUGUUAUCCAUAAUUUGUUGUGAUCCACACAGUUGAAUGCCUUUGCAUAGUCAGUAAAACACGGAUAAACAUCUUUCUGGCAUUCUCUGCUUUCAGCCAGGAUCCAUCUGACAUCAGCAAUGAUAUCCCUUGUUCCACAUCCUCUUCUGAAUCCAGCUUGAAUUUCUGGCAGUUCCCUGUUGAAACAUUGCUGCAAAUUUUUUUUUCAGCAAAAUUUUACUUGCUUGUGAUAUUAAUGAUAUUGUUCAAUAAUUUCUGCAUUUAGUUGGAUCACCUUUCUUGGGAAUAGGCAUAAAUAUGGAUCUCUUUUAGUCGAUUGGCCAGGUAGCUGUCUUCCAAAUUUCUUGCCAUAGACGAGUGAAUGCUUCCACUGCAGCAUCCGUUUGUUGAAACAUCUAAAUUGGUAUUCCUUCAGUUCCUGAACCCUUGUUUUUCACCAGUGCCUCCCCUGCAGCAUGAACCUCUUUCAGUACCAUUAGUUCUUGAUCAUAUGCUACCUCCCGAAAAAGGUCAUAGAUCGACCAAUUCUUUUUAGUACAGUAACUCCAUGUAUUCCUUCCAUCUUGAUUUGGAAACCUUUUUUUCCUGCUGUUAUACUAUAGAACACUUUGGGAAAUAUUGGCUGCCAGUAAGAGCAAACAGGUAGGCACCAUUUUUGUCCCACUUCACUUCAAUAAAAAAAAAUUUUUUUUUUCACUUCAAUAAGAUUACCUAUGUUCUUCUAUAUUUUAUCGAUUGGGAUUUCUUAACAUUUAUUUCAUAAAGGUGUUCUAUUACCAAAUUUUUUCUUUGAAAGUCAUUGCCCUCCUCCAUCUGUUUGGUCUUCUACCACUCAAGUUGUUCUAUUUAACACAGGCUGGAUUGUGUUUGGACUUCUUAGCCUUUCAUUCAAAGAAAGAGUUAAUAAUGAUUUAUAUAUGGUAGUGGGGAGAGCUUUCUCUCUUGAAGAGCCUUUUCUUUGUCUUUCCUUGCCUGAAUCCUUUCUCCCCUCACGCCCACACCUCCAUCUUCUCUAGAAACUUUUGUUAGACAUUUUUGCCUUUUUUUUUUUUUGAAUAACAAUAGUAUGUCUUAUUGUUUUGAAUUUUAAAAAAUAGACAUGAACCGUAGGCCUUUUUUUUGCUGUUGCUCUUUUUUUAAGACCAAGCCUGGUAAGGCUGAGAGUUAGACAGUGACUGAUUAGAUGAACAAUAAGAAGUACAAUUUACAGAUGGAAAAUAUAUUGAAUUCAUAAUGUCACCAAAUUGUGAUUUCUGAUGAAUUUUAAUAAGAUUAUUUCACUCUCUUAUGAAAUGUGAUCAUCACAUUUGGUCAGUGUUCCUUUGUUGCCAAUUUUCCAUAAACGUAAUGUCCCUGAAUACAUGACAUUUUUCUAUAACAUUUCUUGGAUAAUUUACAAUGUAAUUGUAAUCUUGCCAUUGUCAACUUGUAUAGAACUUCAUUGUAUAUUUGUAGUUUAAUGCAGGAAAGUAUAUCUAGUUUUAUUUUUAUAGCUACAUAUUCAUUUUUCAUUAUUGUAUGUAUUACGUAUCAUUAUGGAAAGCAAAAAUGCAAAGAACUUCAAUUUUUAAGAGUUCCCUGCAAUUACGUAGUGUAGUAGUUAAAAGCUUGGAUGCUGGGGCAUGACUGCUUGGGCUUAAAUAUUUGUUUUGCCACCUACUGGCUGUGUAUUCUAUGAACCUCUUUUUUUUAUUUGUAAAAUGAAGAUAAUGAUACCUUAUAGGAUAUUGGGAAGAUUAAAUGAGAGAACCUGCUUAAAGUACUUGGCGCACUGUCUGGCAUAUAAUAAGUCCUCAAAAUGUGUUAGCUAGAUUGCAGGGGCUAAUAACGCACUCAGUAGUUAAUUAACCUCACCUCUUAAAAAGAUCAACAGAGAAAUCAUGUAGAAAGUGGUCAAAACCCAAUGUAGCUAAAAGACUUCGUUUGUGUGUGGAAAAUGCUAAUGGCCAAGAAUCAGAAAACCUGGUUUUGCAAUCCAAGAGAAGUACUUUCUCUGGAGUCCUUGUUUUCGUAUCCAUAAACUGAAGGGAGAGAAAAUAAAAAAACAAAAACAAAAUGUGUUAGCUAAAACAAUAAGGCAGUGUUGUUGUGUGCCGUCGAGUUGAUUCCGACUCAUAUUGACUCCAUGUGAGGGAGUAGAACUGCCCCAUAGGGUUUCCGAAGCUGUAAUCUUUAUGGGUGCAGGUAGCAAGGUCUUUUCUCCUGCGGAGCCUAUGGGAGGGUUUGAACAGUCAACCUUUUGGUUAGUAACCAAGUGCUUAACCACUGUGCCACCAGGGAUCCUUAGCAAAUAUACUAGUGGUGAUAUAAUAAUAUAUAUCCAUAGGGGUAUGACAACCCCUGUUGUUAAAUGUGCGGGUUCUAGUGGGGUAACUGACAAAACCGGAGCAUAAGAAUAAAUGAUUUAUACUGAAAAAUAACAUUUUCCACAAAGUGCUUCAGGGAUACUUUUCAUUCUGUCUCCCUUCCUCUUUUUUUCCUCGUUUCUCAUCUGUAGUAUUCCCACAUCCACCUAAUAGCCUGAUAUGGACUGUCUUGUAAACAUUUGGGCCUUAGCAGUAAAAGUUUUAACAUCUGGGAAGUUCUCUUAAGAAUUGAAAAGUUAAAUGCAGCAUUUUUUAUUUGCCAUAGUGGAAGAGUAAAUCUGUUUUCAAGGUUGGGAUUGUCAGCGUGCAUACAGUCUGUUUGAGGCCACUGGGCUCUGUUGCAUAUUAUGCUGUUUUUCCUGCCCUUUGCUCUGCCUUCCUCCCAACACCAUAGCUUCUUUUUUGUUCUUUAUGAUUGCUCAAGCAUCGUCUCUUUCAAGAAACAUUUCCUUAUCCCAAAAAAAAAAAAAUACUCUUAAAGUGUUCUAUGCAAAAUACUGUUAUUAUAUUUAUACAGUGUAUUGAAAAUAUUUGUUUCUCCUUUGGUGAACUGUAAUCUCCCUGUAGGCAGGACCAUCGAUGCUGGAAACGCAGUUUAUUUCAAAUCCUUACCUUGCCACUUACAGCCAUACAACCAUAGGGCUUUAUAGUGAGGAUUGAAUGUGAUAAAUGAUAUAAAGAAUUUAAUGUAGUGCAUGGUGCAUAACAGGAGCCCUGGUGGUGCAGUGAUUAAAGUGCUCAGCUGCUAACCAAAAGGUCAGUUUCAAACCCACCAGCUGCUCCUUGGGAGAAAGAUGUGCAGUCUGCUUCCAUAAAGAUUUACAGCUCUGGAAACCGUAUGGGCCGGCUCUUCUCUGUCCUGUAGGGUUGCCAUGAGUCAGAAUUGACUCGAUGGCAGGGGAUUUGGUUUGGUGGGUUAUCACACAUAAGAGUUCAAUAAAUGUUAGUUAAUAAUACUGAUAAUGAUAAUUGUAAUAAUAAUAAAAAUUCUCAGUGCCUGUCACUGUGUCUUGCAUAGGUACUGAUAAUGUAUUACUGAAACACAAAGCCCUCAAUCAUUUGUCUGAUUCUACUUCUUUGCUGUAAUCUGUUGUCCACUUCCUGCUGUUUAAAGACAUUUCAUAUAAUUUCAUUUCAUGAUCCUGUGGGUUAGAUGAGAUAUGCUUAAUUAUGCCCAUUUUACUUGAUAAGAAAUUUUAAGUCCACCUAAGUUAAGUUUUUUUGGGUUUUAAGUUACCUGUGUGCUCAACUUUUUCAGCAAUGUUUAAAUUGUUUUUCUGCCCUUAGAGAUGAACAGUUGAAAUCACAGUUGAUAGAAUUUCAUCCUGUUUUAUCUCAUGCCUAAUUGUUGAAUGAAUUUUAGCUAGAGGCAGAAAGACUGUUGAGUGGAAGCCACUGUAAAUAGGCUAAGCAGGAGACAGUACAGUAGUGGGCUGAGCAAGGGUACUGCUAGUAUUGAGAGAGAAAUGAAUGGAUUAUAGGUACAUUUAGGAGAAAAUUUAUAGGACUUAAUGAUUGGUUUGUUUUGUGGUUGUAUGAAAUGAGAAGUUGUGUUGUGCUAUUGUUUUUGUUAGGUGCUGUGAGUUGAUUUUCGACUCGUAGAAACCCCCAGGACAGAGUAGAACUGUCUUGUAGGGUUUUCUAGGCUGUAAUCUAUGGGAGCAGAUCACCAGAUCUUUCUCCAGCAGAGUGGCUAGGUGGGUUUGAACCGCCAGCCUUUCAGUUAGCAGCUGAGCACUUAGCCUUUGCCACCAGGGCUCCUUAAGUUGGAUUGGAGAGAGGAAGAAAUUGAGGAUGAAUCCCAGGAUUCUGGCUUAAUUAAGCAGCUGGGUGAAUGAAUGGUGGUACUUCUCACUAGGUAGCAAAUAGGAGGAAGGAUGGGCUUUGGGGAAGGUGAUAGUUCACUUUUAGAUUUGUUGAAUUUCAGGUCCUUGUGGAAAGUCUGUGAGGGGAGAUCUAUUAGGCAGUUGGAUAGGUGGGGCUAAAACUUAGGAAACAGCAGGGCUAUAAGUACAUAUUUGGUAUAGUCAUCAGCAUAGAUGAUUCAGUUGAAGCCGUGGGAGUGAGUAAAAUAGGUUAGGGAGAAAAUAUACUGCAUAGCACGAGAAAAGAGAUCUUAGGACGGAACCUUGAGAGAGACAUCAUUAUUUUCUAUGGUGGUAAAAGAAGAGGAAAAAAAUGGAGGUAAAAAAGUCAGUAGGGAGUAAGAAGCCCAGGAGAGUGUAAUGUUACAGGAACAGGGAAGAGAAUGUUUCCAGAAGGAGUGGGUGUGGUCAGCAAUGUCAGAUGGCCUUUACUUUCGUUAAACAGAAUCUUAAUUUUCCUUCCAGGUAAAUUAAAUAAUAUUUGUUUUAACAGGUGUGGCAUUGAAAUUCAUAUUUUAAAUUGUAAGAAGAUAAUAAGACUCACAGUGCUUAUACUAAGCUUUUCAUAAUAGCAGCAAUAUAUCUGAAUUAUAUCUGUAGGUUAAAUAAAGGAGGUUAGUAUUGGUAGGUAGAAAGAUGAGUAAAAUAUGUUGGUAACUAGCUUUGUUUCUCAAGGAAAAAUGCUAUAAUUAUCUAGUAAUGUCUAUCAUCAUUAAGCCUGUACUUUUAAAGGUGGUUCUUGAUUGUAACUAUAGAAUUUAACAGUUAAUUAAAAAAAAGUAUUGGGUGCAUCUUGUUAUUAAGAAUUUUUUAAGGGGUGAGUAAAUGUACAGUAAUUUUGAAGACUCUUGAAAAGUUGCAGAGUUAGUUGUGGGGAAGCAUGUAUAGUUUGAAGAAGCUAUCUCCCAUUUUUCGGAGGAGUGAAUAGCACCCUACUGAUCAGCUAACCAAGCAAAUCAUAGCACUUAAUAUAAAACUGUGUUUUUUCCAUAAAGGGAUAGUUACUGGUGUUUGAUGUGAUUUAUGACGCUUAAAGAUUCAGGUUUGAUGAAUGCCGAGUAAUAAACUAAUUGCAGGUUGUAUUAAAGAAUAACAGGGAGAGUUAAUUCAGGUAUGUGGUCGGGGAGACUUCUCGGGAACGGGGGAAAAAAAAAAGUUGCCAUCGAGUAGAUUCCGACUCAUAGCAACCCUAUGGGACAGAGUAGAACUGCCGCAUAGAAUUUCCAAGGAGCAGCUGGUGGAUUUUAACCACUGUGCAACCAGGGCUUUACUUCUCUGAGGGGAUGGCAUUUAAGCCAAAAGCUGAAAGACGAGAAGGAGGUGUUCGUGAAAGAGUUCCAGUUAACAGCAAGCUUAGAGUUUGUUGUUGUUUUUCAAUAGGAAAGAGUUUGUUUUACACUGAGGAAAGACUAGCCUGAUGUGAGUUAUGGGGUGAGUGGGAUCAGAUGAGUCUGGAGAAGUGGGCAAAUGCCAGAUCACAUUUUAUUUAGUCAUAAAUGAUGUGGCAUUUAGAUUUUAUUCUAAAUGUAAAGGGUAGCUGUUUAAUAGGUUUUAAUAUGAAAGUGCUACUUUGAGGCUAUGAAGAGAAUGGAUUAGCAGAAGGCAAGAGUGGAAAUAGAAUGGUUGGGAGGCUAUUCCUUUAGGUGAAGGAUAAUAGGUGCUUUAAUAUUUUGAGAUUGAUUAAAAGAGAAUGAGUUUGUACCUUACUGUCAUCAGUAUCUUCAUGUAUGUUUCCAUGACAAAGAUCAUUAAUAUGUAUGCAGUUAAGACUUUUGCUCGUGUGGCAUUUUAUUACUUAUAAGCUCUUUGUUCACUUUUAAGUGAUUUUGAAAUUAUUUUAAAAUGGGAUGAUUAACACAGAGCAUGGUGAAAUGUAUUAGACGCAUUGCUAUUUAAAAGUUACUUAUUAAUUGAAAAUAAAAAAUGAGUAAGUUUUCCUUCAGAGGAAGGAAAAUGAAAUAUUUAGAGCCACUUUUUUCUUCAGGUGUUAUAGUAACUGGGAAACCCUGGUGGUGUAGUGGCUAGGUGCUACAGCUGUUAACAAAGAGGUCGGCAGCUUGAAUCCGCCAGGCGCUCCUUGGAAACUCUAUGGGGCAGUUCUGCUCAGUCCUAUAGGGUCGCUAUGAGUCGGAAUCAACUCGAUGGCAGUGGGUUUUUGGUUAUAGUAACUUUAUCACUGUUGACUUGACAAUAUUGUUGUUAGGUGUCAUUGAGUCAGUUAUGAUUUAGAGAGAUUCUGUGUAUAACAGAAUGAAACACUGCCUGGUCCUGUGCCAUCCUCACAAUCACUGCUAUGUUGGAGCCCAUUGUUGCAGGCACUGUGUCUGUCCAUCUCAUUGAGGGUCUUCCUCUUUUUUGCUGACCCUUUACCUUACCAAGCCUGAUGGCUUUCUCCAGGCACUGGUUCCUCCUGAUAACAUGUCCAAAGUACGUAAGAUGAAGUCUCACCAUCCUCCCUUCUAAGGAGCUUUCUGGGUGUACUUAUUCCAAGACAGAUUUAUUCAUUCUUCUGGCAUAUUUAAUAUUCUUCACCAUUGUUUUAUAAAAUCAGUUUUACACACAAAAUGUGCACUUAUAUUAGAGAUGGUUAUUCAGCAUUGAUUUGAAAACUAAUGCAGGACUUCAGAAUCUGAACAGAUUAGUUUUAACAUUAUAAUCAGAAAAGAUGAGAAAAAGGACAUAAUUACAAGGUUAAGGUUAAAAAACCCAAAGGUUAGACUCCCUUAUUUUGUUGACAUAAUUGUUGGGUUUAAGAACAUUGUUAGCUGUUAUUUUUGUGUGUUAACUUGAAUAAUAAGUAUAGGGGACCGGCAUGUGAUGCUCCUGACAUUCUGGGCUAGGAUCAGGAAAAUAUUUUCUUGAACUAGAAACUAUUGAGUAGAUGACAUCAACUCUAUAUAGAAGCAUACCAUUUUAAGAUAUGGUUUAUAAAUGUGGUGCUUGAUUACAAGAUUAAGGCAUGUGUCAGAUCAAAUUAGGAAGAUCAAAAUAUUGUUGAAGAUCAAUUAAUGUGAGUAAGACAUCUUUAGGAAGAAUGACUAGAACAUAAAAUGGUGUAAAAGAAAAACUGCACCGGAAAACUGCUCAAGAUUUCAACACUGGGCAAUUGGUCAGUGUUUAGUAUAGUACAAGAGGUGGUAGAUGCUAUUUAGCAGACACUAGAAUAGUGCUAGGAGUCCUGGUGGUGCAGCAGUUAAGAGAUAGGCUGCUAACCUAAAGUUCGAUGGUUCGAACCCACCAGCCACUCCACAAAGAAUUAUGUGGCAGUCUGCUUCCCUAAAGAUUUAUAGCCUUGGAAACCUUGUAGGGCAGUUCUACUCUGUUCUGUAGGGUCACUAUGAGUUGGAAUUGACUGAGCAGUAAUGGAUUUGAUUUGGUUUAGAAUGGUACUUUACUCUGGGGUUGGAGUAAUUUAGGCUACUUCAUCUGUAAAUCAGCUACAUCUUAACACCAUCCAGUUUUUAAAAAGUAGUUUGUAGACCCAGCAACCAGUUUCCAGGGGUACUGCAUGCUUAGAAUGCAUGACUGGUAACUCCUGAAGUGAUACGGUGUCCAGAUAUGUUCAUACUGGGAGAGGAAUGCCCUGGAUGGGGGCAUCUGAUUUAUUAAUCAGUUUGAUGAGUUUGGUUGGUAUAAUUCAGUUUUCGAGUCUUAACCUGCUUUAGCUUUAUCUAGGUUGAAUUUUCGGAUCUAAAAACCAAGGACCAAAUUCAGAACUGGCCCCCACCCAUUAAGGUACUACUUUCCUGCGAGUUCCUUUUUAGGCAGCUAAUCGGCAUACACUUUACCACUUUUAGUUGAAUACUAAUUACUUUGUAAUGCUGUCUGUAUUAGUUAUCUAUUGUUGUGUAACAGAUAAUCCCCAAAUUUAGUGAAUGAAAACAAACAUUAUCUUAUAUUCCUGUGAGUAAUCCAGGAGCAGCUUAACUGGGUGGUUCUGGCUCAGGGUCUCACAAGCCUGCAAUGAAGGGGUCAGCUGGAGCUGUAGUCAUUUCAAGGCCCAACUGUGGGAAUCCACUUGCAGCUCACUCAUGUGGUUUUCAGCAGGCCUUAGAACACCUGCUUCCAAGUUACUCAUGUGGCAGACCUCAUGCCCUUGCUGCUUGUUAGCCAGAUGCAUCAGGUUCUUGCCAUGAGGGCCUUUCCACAGGGCUGCUUACACCAUGGCAGCUUGCUUCCCCCAGUGUACAGGAUCUGAGAGAGAGAAAGAGUAUGCAUGAGAGAGAGAGCCCUUAAAACAGAAACCACAGUCUUUUUAUAAUCUAAUUUUAGAAAUGUUCUCCCAUUGUUGUUAGCUUGUCGAGUUGGCCCUUGACUCAUGGUGACCCCACAUACAACAGAAUGAAACACUGCCAGGUCCUAUGUCAUCCCCAUGUUUGGUUGCAGAUCAGACUGUUGUGAUCCAUAGUUUUCAUUGGCUGAUAUUUGAAAGUAGAUUGCCAGGUCUUUUUCUAGCCUUUCUUAGUCUGGAAGCUCUGCUGAAACCUGUUCAGCAUCACAGCAACAUGCAAGCCUCCACUGACAGAUGGGUGGUAGCCAUGCAUGAGGUGCACUGGUCAGGAAUCGAACCCAGGUCUCCUGCAUGGAAGAUGAGAAUUUUACCACUGAACCACCAGUGCCCAUGCUGCCUCAUUUCUUCUGCCAAAUUCUGUGCCUUAGUGGGAAACCAGCCCACACUCAGGGGAAGGGAUUACCAAGGAUAUGAAUACCAGAAGGUGGGGAUCACUGGUGGCCAUCUUAGAGGCUGCCUACAACACUAUCCUUUAGAAAAAAUGGCUUAAAACUUUUUGUGGUGGUUGUUGCAGAAUUCUUUCUUCAAAAGGAGGCUUAUUUUGUGGAAACCCAAAAUAUAAAUAGAUGAAUGGGGAGCUGUUUUGAUUAAAGCCAGGGGUUGUAGGGAACUAGGGCCCACCUCGGUACUCUUCCUCUUUCAGCAUUUCAGAACAACUUGAAUAUUAGUGGAGCCCUGGUGGCACAGUGGUUAAGAGCUCCAGCUGGUAACCAAAAGGUCAGCAGUUUGAAUUUAUCAGCUGCUUCUUGGAAACCCUAUGGAGCAAUUCUGCUCUGUCCUACAGGGUCGCUAUGAGUCGGAAUGGACUCCAUGGCAACGGGUUUGGUUUUUGGUUUGGUGAAUAUUAGUGUCUUAACCAUCAAAUGUUAGUCAUGAACAUGAAUAUAUACUGUUGUUCUCAUAUUUUCAUUUUAGAAUUUGUCAGUGUUUAGUCCUAAAAUUCUAGAUUUAAAAGUGGGGCAUUGGGACUUGGAAAACAAUCAUGUGAAUGUUUCUGGCAACUUUUUAAGUCCAAGCAGCUUCCUUAUCUAAAGUAAAUCUAAUGUAAUGGCCAGUUUUUUAGUAGCAUUCACAGAUAUAAUUUAUAUGCCAAAAAAACCCAUUGCCAUCAAGUCAAUUCCAGCUCAUUCUGACCCUAGAGGACACGGUAGGAUUGCCUUGUAGGGUUUCCAAAGCUGUAAUCUUUACGGAAGUAGACUGCCACGUGUUUCUCCCAUAGAGCGGCUAGUGGGUUUGAACUGCUGACCUUCAGUUCACAGCCAAGUGCUUUAAUGACUGUGCUACCAGGACUCCUUAUAAUUUAUAUAUUGGUGUGAUGUUGGUACUGGCUUACUUACUAACUACUGUCUGGAAUGUUUUGUUAACUAUGGCCCAGUCAUAUAUAGUUUUAAAGAACUUGUAAGUGUAUAGUGAUGUUUCUAUUUUAAUUUUUAUAUUAACAUGUUCUUGUAGCUCUUCUAUGAUGAAAACCGUGAUUCCGGAUAUUAACAUAAAUUACUAGCUUUAUCUUACCAUAUAAAGACUAUAGUUUCAAAAUGAAUAGUACAUUAUUAAUACAAACGAAUCUCUGAGAGAAGUUUAGAAUUUCCUGAUAGUUCUUUUAUUCCUCAGACUACAGCUCACUAAAAAUGUGCAGUCAAUUGAGAAAAAUCCCAUUUCUGGAUGGUUAUAUUAACAGUUUGAUACAUGGUUAGAUUCUAGGCACUGUUUCUAAGUGCUUUACUUAUAUUAACUUACUUAAUCUUUACAACUGCCCGGUGAAGUAAGUUCUCUUGACCCCUGUUUUACAGAUGAGUAUAGUUUGUGCCAUCUUGAUCUUAGAUUAAUACCCAAACUAGAGGGUGGUGGUGGAAAUGAAAGUUAGAUACCACGUUUUUUUGUGAGUAGUCUUUUCAUAAAUUCAAAUUGAUUUUAUAGAGUAGAUUUUUAUUAGUGUGACUUGAUUUGGCUCUUUUUGUGGAUUAGCAUUAUAAUUAGGAUUAUAAUUAUUUGUGUUCACACAGGAUAUUUUGAGUAGAGCAUCCUAAUACGGAAUUUCUUUUCUAAGCUGUCCUGAUAAAAUCCACCUUAGUUGUGAACUCGUAGCUUUCCAUACUAGUCUCUAAGUGACCCUUUGGGUAUCUUAAAAUAUUUUCAAGACAUUUUAAUUCUUGAUUCUAGCAAAAUGCACUUGAUUCUUUUUGUUGUUGUUGUGGGAAAUGUACACAGCAGAACAUACACCACUUCAACGAUUUCUACAUGUACAGUUAAAUGAUACUGAAUUAUAUUCGAUUUGUGCAACCAUUCUGAGAAUAUUUUGUGACUUUUGCCUUUUUCUGACUCCUCCGUUAACAUAAACUCACUGCCCCCCAAAUUUUCUAUCUGAUCUUUUGAGUUACUAUUGUUAGUUUGAUUCCAUAUAGAUAAUUCUUAAAAGAGCACAGUGUUCAAGGCAGACAUUCUUUACAGUUAAGCUAAACUACUGUUUGGUUUUAAAAAGACUUCAGGGGUAUUUUUGGUUUUAGGUUAAAAGAUUAUCUCAGGGCAGUAGUUUCAGGGGUUCAUCUAGUCUUCAUGGCUCCAGAAAGUCUGAAUUACAUGAGAAUUAGAAAUUCUGUUCUGUGUUUUUCCCCUUGUGAUCAGAAUUCUAUAGAAUCAUUGAUCAAAAUGUUCAGUAAUGGUAGCCAGGCACCAUCUAGUUGUUCGGGUCUCAUGGCAAAGGAGGCAGUAGCUGAUGGAGGCAAUUAGCCAUACUUCUUUUCUUCCUCGUUUUCCCCAUUUGAUUCCAUUUUAAGUUUGUAAGAUCUGAACCCAAAUGGACAGUGCAUUUGCUACAAAUAAAAAUUGGAGAUUAUUAUUUAGCUUUUAAUGAUAUCUUUUAUACUAGUUUAUAGCAUUAGAGUAAAAUAUUUGGAUUAUUGCUUCUGUGCCGGUUUUUAUCAAUAUAAACAUGUACUUACUAUUCAGUCAAUAAAAGUUAAUUUGGAAUCUGUAAAUGACCCCUUUUUGGUACUUAUUUAUGUAUUAGAAUUACAGAUGGAGGUCUGUGGAGUACCUCUGUUUGAAUGAAGGGUAAUUUAAAACACUAAAGCAUUUAUUAAGUAGGAAUCUAGCACAUGGAUGCUGUCAAACUUUACAAAAUAAAAAUAUUACCUCGUAACAUGAUUGAAAUGUAAGAUUCUCGUUGAAUUACAUUUGCAGUUGAUUUUUGUUAAAUAAUGGUUUUAUAGUCCUUUUAAUCAUAUUUACUCCUAAAACAAAGAAAUAGCUAUAUACUUUUUUAAUUUGUUUCCAUAGAACGAAGAGCCAGGAAACCAUAGUUUCUUGAAGGUAGAGGAUGAUUGUUGAGCAGCAUAAUGGUAAAGGGAGAGAUCCACAUUCUUUGAAGUUAUUGUGAAUGCCUCGAGGACCAAGGAACCGUUGAAAUUACCAAUUUCAGGAAGUUCCAGUGGGUGCCCAUCAGGAAGAUUCUGAUGUUGGACAGAAGGGCAAGAGAGAUGGAUCUGUGAGGGAAAAGACCCAAUAGGAUAACUCAAGUUACUGGUAAGUAAUCCACUUUUCACAAACUCGAGAUUUUUUUCCUCCAAUUUCUUCUUUUUGGAAGGAGUUUGUUUAAUUACAAAGAAGGAAGUUGUUUGGGAUAGCUUCUUUUUGUAAGUUUCAUGUAAAUUAUUGAAUUUAAUGUAUAGAUAAUAAAUACCUAAGUUAAUGAAUAUAUCAAUAAAUUUAAUUAAUUUUAGUGUAUUUAGUUUUUAAUGUAUUAUCAUUUGUAUAAUAGCUGUUCGUAAAAAAUUAUAUGCUUAUUGACUUUUGGUAAUGGUGUAAUGGUUGUAAAGCAGUGUAGGGAAGCUUUAUGUUGGAAUCUCUUAUAAAUUCCUUUAUCUUGUGAUGUUCUAUUGACUAAAUGCUUGUAUUGUAAAAUUUAUGCAUGUGCCAAAUUUAGUCAGAUUCUUUUGGCAUGUUAGUGUUUGAACAGCAAGAAUAGUUUUAUGUAUUGACUAACACUUCUUCAUGACAUAGUUUUCAAUGUACCUUUUAAUGUCAUUGAUGGUAUAUUUGAAAAACAAUUUAAGGUGUAUUCCAAUUACAGUUACCACUUAACUGUUCAGAAUGGAUGAGUUUAUUGAUGUGAAGGUUAGCAGAAUUGGUUUAGUCUGAGCUCUCUGGUUCCUCAGGUACCAGAUUACCGAGCUGACAUAUAAUAUUACAGUUAGGUAGAGUUCCUUGCUUCUAGUUUUACGCUCACUUACUCUGUGUGAUUACCCGGUUACUAUUUCUAAAAAGUCACUCUUAGCACAUAAAGAGUCGAUAAUGUUGCCCUGGUAGAGCUAUUUUAUAAAAUUUUAGUCCAUUUGCUGGUCAGUUAAGGCCUCUCAUAAUCCAAUCCCAUUCUUUUUGUUUAACCUUAAUUUCUCCAAUUUGAUCCUUUCGUUUCCUUUUAUCUAUGUAGUUAUCAUAUUUUUGCUUCGGGUUGUACUUUAUUUUCUUGAAAUGUCCUUUUUACAUUCUACUUUUCUGUAUUUUAAAGUUGAGACCAAGUCCUGCCACUCCCAUAAAUCCUUUUAUGGUAACAUCUCUGUUACCUACAUUAUCCUAAUGGAAAAAUUGGAAUGGUUGUGAGGAUUGAAUAAAUUAAUCCAUGUAAGGCACUUAGAAGAAUGCUUAGCAGCACAUAGUAAACACUCUUCUGGGCUAUUUAUUUGAGUGUAGAUUAAUCAUAAACAUUUCUGUGUCUAUAGAAAUAACGCUUGUCAGUAUAACACAAUUUAGUCUUUAAAUAUUGGCUCUGGGUUGUGUUGCUGUUUCUUGUGAUAAAAACUCUUAGGCUGGGUUUUUUUUUUUUUUUAAUUUUGUGCUUUAAGUGAAAGUUUACAAGUCAAGUCAGUCUCUCAUAUAAAACCUUAUAUACACCUUGCAAUAUAUACCUAGUUGCUCUCCCCCUAAUGAGACAGCACAUUCCUUCUCUCCACCCUGUGUUUCUGUAUCCGUGCAGCCAGCUUUUCUGUCCCUGCUACUCUGGCCUUUGAAGUGUUUGGUUUAUUCAGGAGACUUCAUUGCUUUUGGUAUAGUCCAGUUUUGCUGACCUCUUCUAUAUUGUGUGUUAUCCAUCCCUUCACCUAAAUUAGUUUUUGUCUGCUAUCUAAUUAGUGAAUACUCCUCUUCCUCCCCCGUCUUGUAACCAUCAAAAAAUAUUUUCUUCUGUGUUUAAACUAUUUCUUGAGUUCUUAUGAUGGUGGUCUCACACAAUAUUUGUCCUUUUGCAUCUGACUAAUUUCACUCAGCAUAAUGCCUUCCAGAUUCCUCCAUGUUACAAAAUGUUUCACGGAUUCAUCGUUCUUCUUUAUCGAUGCAUCGUAUCCCAUUGUGUGAAUAUACCAUAAUUUAUUUAUCCAUUCAUCCACUGAUGGGCACCUUGGUUGCUUCCAUCUUUUUGCUAUUGUAAACAGUGCUGCAGUGAACAUGGGUGUGCAUAUAUCUGUUCGUGUAAAGACUCUUCUCUAGGGUAUACUCCAAAGAGUGGGAUUGCUGGAUUCUAUGGUAGUUUUAUUCUAGCUUUUUAAGAAAGUGCCAAAUCGAUUUCCAAGAUGGUUGUACCAUUUUACAAUCCCCACCAGCGUCGUCUAAGUGUUCCUUAAGCUGGGUUUUAAACAGGGCUUCAAACCGGUUC